rnacentral:rRNA from 1 species
GAUGAACGCUGGCGGCGUGCCUAAUACAUGCAAGUCGAGCGAACGGACGAGGAGCUUGCUUCUCUGAUGUUAGCGGCGGACGGGUGAGUAACACGUGGAUAACCUACCUAUAAUACUGGGAUCACUUCGGGAAACCGGCGCUUAUACCGUAUAAUCUUUUGAAGCGCAUGGUUCAAAGGUAAAAGACGGUCUUUGUGUCUCUUAUAGAUGCAUCCGCGCUGCAUUAGCUAGUUGUUAAGGUAACGGCUUACCAAGGCAACUAUGCGUAGCCGACCUGAGAGGGUGAUAGGCGACACUGGAACUGAGACGCGGUCCAGAGUACUACGAGAGGCAGCAGUAGGGAAUCGUACGCAAUGGGGGGAAGCCUGGCGGAGCAGCGGCGAGUGAGUGAUGAAGGUCCUCGGAUCGUAAAGCUGUGUUAUGAGGGAAGAACCGAUGUGGAAGGAACUGAGCACAGCUUGGCGGUACCUAAUAAGAAAGCCACGGCUAACUACGUG